UAAUCUAUUAAACUUAAGACUUUUGGCUCGGUGUUGGAAUCUUUUGUCACAACACAAUAUGGAUUAAAAAUGAAUAAAUUAAAAGGGUCGAACAUGGGUUGCCUUUCGCUGCCUGCAGCUACCCACUUGAAAUAUGGGAUCUAUGGCGUAGUUUCGCCAAGCUACCACAUAUAUUUGUAAUAUCCCUUUCUUUUAUGCAUAUUUGGGGUGUGCCCUCUAGUUUUUUUAUUUUAUUUUAUAAGUCAAAACAUGAUUGUUGAUAGGUUAAUUCCCAAUAGUGUAACCAAAUAGAAAAGGAGGCUAUAUGCAGAGACGUAUGUGUUGCUUUCAUGGCAGGUUCAUGUGAAGUUAAAAAGAUUUGACUUUAUGGCAUGGAGAUCGAAUCUCUUGGAAGGGAAAUGACGUAGGAAUUGUGCAUUCUUCACUCUUGAGCAUAUUUCUUUGUUCUUUUGUCACACAGAUUUCUUAAAUUUAGUUUUGGUUUGACAUGUGUAUAGGCAUGAGGCACUGGAUUCUUUACUCAUCACCUGUUGCUGCUUAGUCUCUAUAACAAUAUGCUGUUAUCUCGUUUUCUCUAUUUAUUUCUGGCAAUAUAUAUAAUGGUAGGCCACUUCCAAGUUUAUGCUUAUUGUUUCGACACGUCUUCCAUGCAUCCAACACACAACCGGAAACCUCAAACUACAGUAUUCUUAGUGAUGCAGCUUGUCAUUGCCUUUAGGCCCAUUUCUUGGUCUAAAAAACAACUGCAAUAGCCGAAGCCCAUUAUCGAAGCCAUUUUGGAUCCCUAACGUAGCCCAAAAUUUAGACCCAAAUUUAUCACUAAAAAACUGGUUCAUCAAGGCGGGCUUUAGGGUCCCCCCAGUCAUACCCAAACCUAACCCUGAAAAUACAUUUUAAUUUUAGGCUGAAAAAAAGGAGCCACAUAUACUACCCUACCUGCCGUUACGGUACACGCCAUGUGUACUUCCCCUGUCGUGCGUGCCUGAGUUUUGUUACUUUCUUCUGCUCUAAGAGCUGCUGACCAAAUUUCCAUUCGGAGAUGGGUUUUGUUAUUCACUUGCUGUAAUUUGUGCAAAUAUUCUGCACUUAACUUCCACAUUGCUUCUUAUUUCCUUAUUGCUAAUGGAGAUUUUGAGGCAUGGCUUCAUUCAUGGAACGCGCACUGUUGGAAGCAUGAUGUUACCUCUAGGCGUUAUUUGUUCACCACUGUAAUGGUUCUUCAACAUGCAAAACCAUUGAACCAGCUACCACUAGUUGGACCCUUGUUCUCUCCUCCCGUUAAUGUAUCUUGCUGUUUCCAAGGUUGCAGUGAGAGCAGCAACUUAUCCAGUUUUCCCCCCAGGCAUCGUAGGUGUCAAUGGAAUGCAACAAUUUAGCCAGCAAAGGUCAAGAUAGAUCAGUUGAACUUUGAGUUUUGCGCUGUUUCCUAUUGUUUCCAUCAUGGCAAAUAUUGCUCGAGACACUCUUUCAGUUUUUGGAAAGUUACAGGCUUUGAAAUAAACGAGUCCAUGCCAUUUGCAGAACACUCAUCAGCACUCUCUGACAAUGCAUUUGCUGUCAUCUGCAUUUAUGCGUAACAUAUUUUUGUCAGCGUGUGCAUAACAUGAAGACUAUCUGCUGGGAUAAUAUGAGCUUAAGCUUGUUUAUUAAGAGGCAGUUAAAGUGAUGAACUCACUGCAAUUAUGGGGAUACGCUUUGGAGGUGUACAAUCUGGUUGUAAUGAAUCAGAAGAUGGUGAAGGCUUCUCUAUCCCAGCCUUUGCUGCUUCAUCCCAAUUACCAGUUUCCUCAAAGGAACGAAUCAAUCUCGUUGUUUGAAGGCCAUCCAUGACCGGCAUGCACACAUCCUGCAAGAUAAAAUUCGUAAAUGGUUGCUAAUAAACUCCAAGUCUUUCAGAACUCGAAUGCAGACGUAAAACUUGAGCAGAUUUAAACCCUGUAGAAAGCAACUCUUAUAUGCAGUAGGGAAGGAAAGAGAGGAAGGAAUUACCAUCAAGACAAGAUCAUAACUAUGGUACUGAAUUGCACGGACAGCUUCUACACCAUUGUUCACAACAUCUAUUGUGUGGCCUAACUGCUUCAUCAUUGACCGCGUCACCAUUACAUUAAUUUUAUUAUCUUCCACCAGGAGGAUCUUUGGCUUUGAGAUAGAAUUUGAUGCUUCUCGGCUGCUGUUUAAAGUGGACUGAAAACCGCUGUCAGAUCUCUCCUGCCUCUCCGCUGCUAGCUGGGGCUCAGUUAUCUUCACUUUCACAUCCACCUCUCUGCUUGUCUCUGAGCAACUCGACACAUCUCUGGUAGAAACUCUGUUCUCAGCAUUUACAACAUUGUGAUGAUGCUCGUCUCUGCAAAUUGCACUUUCAUUAUCGUGGUCUGGGCUGUGACUAAAUGAACUUUCAGGCUCAGGUGAUAUCUCUAAAGCUUCAGCAACAGAACAAGCAUCCUCAACUAAAUCCAUCUCCUUUGUUUGACCAUUACUCAUGGGAAAUGAAUAGCAAUUCUCUGAGAACCCAUUAAUUUUAUGCGAAUUCACAUAGCCAAUAUUAUGUGCUAAUAAAUUUUGGGUUCUGCUAGAUCCAUUAGAAGAAAAUAGGGAACCCAAAGUACGUGGCUGGAAUUGGAAAAAGCCAGCCGUUGCAUCAUCAUCCGUAGCACCAUGAUCAUCCAUAUCUGAGAGGUCGUCAUCAGAAUGAUCACAUGAUAGAGAAACCUUGUAAGAAGCAAGAAGAGGGAAGGCAAAUUGUAUCAAUUGUGGCGGGGGAAAAACAUUAUUGUUGAUGGAAGGAAGAAUUCACCAGCUGUUUACAUAUUGCGAGGCCCAGUCCUGUCCCACCAUACUUACGGGCAUGAUCGGCACUGACUUGCAUGUACUUCUUAAAAAGUGUGGGUAAAGCAUUUUCUGUCACAGACACAGGAGAAUGUAUCAAGUUCUAACAAAACCUCUGGUUUCUUGUGAUAAUGCAAAUGAUUAAAGACAAGCAUAUUCAUGUACCAGGUAUGCCAAUUCCAGUGUCAUAUACAUCACAGCGAAUCCAAACUGUUGUUUCAGGUAAUUCUGCUUGCUCCUCGGUUACAUCUAUUGUUCCAUUCGUUACUGGAGUACCACGUUCACUUUGUGAACGGUCUUGGCAAGAAUCUUCGUGUUUCUUACCAUGAAAUCCUCUCUGAUCACUGCUAGUUUGAGACGUUGAUGUACAUGUCUCUUCUUUCGGUACAUUAGUUGUGGAUUGAUUAGCAGUUGAUCCAGCAGAGCCGUUCUGAGAUCCUUCUUUUGCAAAAGGCGGCUCGGGGACUACAUAAAGUUUUACUCCUACCUUUCCUUCAUGUGUAAACUUGAUCGCAUUGCUGAAGAGAAAGAAAGGUUGUUCACAUAAUGAAAGUAAUGAAUACUAAUCAUUCAGGAAGAUUUUCUCAGCAUAGUUGUCAGAACCAUUCAGUUCCUAAUGACAAAAAAAACUAAGUUCAUA